UACGUAGGGUGCAGGCGUUAAUCGGAAUUACUGGGCGUAAAGCGUGCGCAGGCGGCUUUGCAAGACAGAUGUGAAAUCCCCGGGCUCAACCUGGGAACUGCAUUUGUGACUGCAAGGCUGGAGUACGGUAGAGGGGGAUGGAAUUCCGCGUGUAGCAGUGAAAUGCGUAGAUAUGCGGAGGAACACCGAUGGCGAAGGCAAUCCCCUGGACCUGUACUGACGCUCAUGCACGAAAGCGUGGGGAGCAAACAGG
rnacentral:rRNA from 1 species